rnacentral:ncRNA from 2 species
GCAGGUGCUAUAAACCGCCAUGUCGCGAAUGUGACCGGAAAACAUGGUCGGGAAUCCGGUGCGGCCCUGCGUUAAAGCAGUGUUGCCAAGCCCGGAACUGCCCCCGCAACUGUAAGCGCAAAGGCCUUAUUUGCAGGUUUUCUCGCGAGUCAGAAUACCGAUGGUGUUUUCUUGGCAUGA